rnacentral:lncRNA from 1 species
CCCGGCUCACUAGCUCGGCUCCGAGCUCCUCCUCCCGUUUCCGCUGGCAGGAGCUGGAGCCGUGUCCCGCCGUGCGGCUGCAGCUCCCCCAGGACUCGGCCCCAUCCGGCCCGGCCCAGCCCGGCUCGGCUCGGCUCGGCGCUCGGCUCCGAGCUCCUCCUCCCGUUUCCGCUGGCAGGAGCUGGAGCCGUGUCCCGCCGUGCGGCUGCAGCUCCCCCAGGACUCGGCCCCAUCCGGCCCGGCCCAGCCCGGCUCGGCUCGGCUCGGCUCGGCUCAGAUCAGAUCAGAUCAGGGAGGCGCGGAAUUUAAGAAGUUCAACAUGGCAAGAGGCUGCCUGUGUUGUUUGAAAUAUGUGAUGUUCCUUUUCAAUUUAAUAUUUUGGGUGAGUACUGCCUUUUCAGUUGUCUUCGUUUGUUAGUGUAUCCUGUACUACUGCAUUAUGUGUACAGUGCAUCUUUAAAGCACUACAGUAAGC